rnacentral:rRNA from 1 species
ACCACUGCAUUGCCUCAGUACGGCGAGUGAAGCGGCAAAAGCUCAAAUUUUAAAGCUGGCAUCUUCGGUGUCCGCGUUGUAAUUUUGUGAGGCAUCUCCGGGUAGGGCGCCGGCCUAAGUUCCUUGGAACAGGACGUCACAGAGGGUGAGAAUCCCGUGCUUGGCUGGCUGUCCCCGUCCAUGUGAGGUGUCUUCGACGAGUCGAGUUGUUUGGGAAUGCAGCUCAAAAUGGGUGGUAAAUUUCAUCUAAAGCUAAAUAUUGGUGGGAGACCGAUAGCGCACAAGUAGAGUGAUCGAAAGAUGAAAAGCACUUUGAAAAUAGAGUUAAAAAGUACGUGAAAUUGUUGAAAGGGAAGCGCUUGAGAUCAGACUUCGGUAGGGGGUGAUCAGCCGUCCUUCUGGGCGGUGCACUUGCCCCUCUCCGGGCCAGCAUCGGUUGAGGCGGCGGGAUAAAGGUCCCGGGAAUGUGGCUCCUUCGCGGGAGUGUUAUAGCCCGGGUGAAUGCCGCCAGUCUCGACCGAGGACCGCACCCGCAAGGGUUAGGAUGCUUGGCAUAAUGGUCUUCAGCGACCCGUCUUGAACCCACGGGACCA